AAUAAUUUACGUGAUUCGGCGUAAUGCCUACGUCCACGGGCAGAAACUGGAAGAUAAUUUUACUAACAAAUGGAAAUUUACAAAAUUUGGAAAAAAAACUCUCAACACUCAAAACCUCAAUACACCCAAAUGGAACCUCACUAGACCACUCAAGUAGAAGCUUUUUCAAUACUCUCAAAUUGCUUCACUUGCAAUUGCU
rnacentral:lncRNA from 1 species